CCUACGGGUGGCAGCAGUGAGGAAUAUUGGUCAAUGGGCGGAAGCCUGAACCAGCCAAGCCGCGUGAGGGAUGAAGGUACAGAGGAUCGUAAACCUCUUUUAUCAGGGAAUAAAGUGCGGGACGUGUCCCGGGAUGAAUGUACCUUAUGAAAAAGGAUCGGCUAACUCCGUGCCAGCAGCCGCGGUAAUACGGAGGAUCCGAGCGUUAUCCGGAUUUAUUGGGUUUAAAGGGUGCGUAGGCGGCCUUUUAAGUCAGCGGUGAAAGCCUGGGGCUCAACCAUGGAAUUGCCGUUGAAACUGGGAGGCUUGAGUUGGUUUGAGGCAUGCGGAAUGCGUGGUGUAGCGGUGAAAUGCUUAGAUAUCACGCAGAACCCCGAUUGCGAAGGCAGCCUGCC
rnacentral:rRNA from 1 species